GACAGAGGCCUCAAGCGUUAGGCUGAAUCACUGGGCUUAAAGCGUGUGUAGGCGGAUCGUUAAGUGUCUUGUGAAAUCCCACGGCUCACCCGUGGAACUGCUGGGCAUACUGGCGAUCUUGGGCCAACUAGGGGCAACUGGAACAAGCGGUGGAGCGGUGAAAUGCGUAGAUAUCGCUUGGAACGCCGAAGGUGAAAACAGGUUGCUGGGGUUGUGCCGACGCUGAGACACGAAAGCCAGGGGAGCAAACGGG
rnacentral:rRNA from 1 species